AUCGCCUUUUCAAUUUGUUGAUUCUUUCUCUGUGCAGAGAAGUUCAGAAAGUAUAAAGAAUAAAUAACAAUCAACCAUAAUCCCACUACUGAAAGAAGUUGGAGUGACUUUCCAAUAGGAAAGGAAUCACUAAUGAGGCCAUUUCCUUCACCAUAGAAGAGGAUCGAAAGUGUCAGACAUAUGAUGGUGGUCUACUUUCAUUUAACAGAUCUGGAUUUUGUUGGGAAACUCAAGUACAACACUUAGCAUCACUUCCCAAGGACCUCCAUGUGGUUUGGUAAGCCAAAGUAAGCUAACAUGCCCAUGCACAGUACUGGGAAAUUUGCCCUGUACCCUUUUUAGUCACCAUAGCAGAAAGAUUUUACUUGUUAUAAUAUCAGCAUUGUCAUUUUGCAGAACUGAGUGCAUCAGCAAAAAAAAAAAAAAAAAAGAAAGAAAAGAAAAAAGAAAAAAGAAAAAAAUUGUGCAUCUGCGCACAUGAGAGUGUGUGCACACACAUUUGGCUCAGCCUAACUGAGGAGAUCUUGACUUAGAAAUGAAACAAUUUUAUAAUUCAUACAAUUUAAAAAACAGACCAAAAAACAUCACUAAAUAAGUAGUUGUCACAGAAACCUAACAAAUCCCUGAGUUACCUAGCCACAGCCUAUAUACAAGCUAUCUGGAUUUUUCCUCUAAAAAAAAUGAUAGAAUAUUCAACCAGUACAGAAUUCAAACCAUAUUGUAGUGCAACUCCCUUGUUUCACAUUUUGAGGUUUUCACUUUGAUUUUACAGUGCUUUUCAUCACUUACUAAUUGUCUACUAAUAACCAUUUCUUAGCUUUCUUUCCCAGGCAGGUUACAAAUUCCCUGACUGCAGAGGCUACAUCAUCUUCAUUGUGUGGCUCACCAGCCUAAUGAGUGAAAGAUGCUCAGUAAAUGUCAAAAAUGAUCCUCGUGCUUCACCUACACCUUUUGGUACAGUCGCAGAUAAGAAAAUACUUCAAGAGCACCUGUGGAAAUUUCUUGUCCUCUGUGGCAUUUAUGAGGUGGAAGAGAUUGCUGAACUCUGGUUACGGACAGAAGAGAACAACAAGCAGAAAACAUUUCUCUUGGGCCCCCAGGGCCACUGUGGAGUGCACGUUCAUGAUGUUUUAUCCAACUGA
rnacentral:lncRNA from 1 species